UUCAAAAUAGUAUAUGUGAAGACGGCAAAGC
rnacentral:piRNA from 1 species